AAUCAACGCUGGCGGCGUGCCUAACACAUGCAAGUCGCACGAGAAAGGGCAGCAAUGCCUGAGUACAGUGGCGCACGGGUGAGUAACACGUGAAUGAUCUACCUCCGAGUGGGGAAUAACUGAGGGAAAUCUUAGCUAAUACCGCAUAACACUUACGAGUCAAAGCAGCAAUGCGCUUGGAGAGGAGUUCGCGGCAGAUUAGUUAGNGGCGGGGUAAUGGCCCACCAAGACGAUGAUCUGUAUCCGGCCUGAGAGGGCGCACGGACACACUGGAACUGAAACACGGUCCAGACUCCUACGGGAGGCAGCAGUGGGGAAUUUUGCGCAAUGGGGGAAACCCUGACGCAGCAACGCCGCGUGGAGGAUGAAAUCCCUUGGGAUGUAAACUCCUUUCGAUCGGGAAGAUAAUGACGGUACCGAGAGAAGAAGCCCGGCUAACUUCGUGCCAGCCGCCGCCGUAAG
rnacentral:rRNA from 1 species